AAACAGCCCCCUAUGUUUUCAUUCUUUGGCAGUUUUGGACCCCCAAGGUAAAAAAAAAAAAAUUGACACGUGGCACCUCACUUAGGGUGCCACGUCAGCGUUGACCGAGUCAACAAUGUACUGGAGGUCCAAAACUGCCAAAUAAUCAAAACAUAGAGGGCUGUUU
rnacentral:pre_miRNA from 1 species